rnacentral:rRNA from 1 species
GACGAACGCUGGCGGCGUGCUUAACACAUGCAAGUCGUACGGUAAGGCCCUUUCGGGGGUACACGAGUGGCGAACGGGUGAGUAACACGUGAGUAACCUGCCCACAACUUUGGGAUAAAGAUAGGAAACUGGUGCGAAUACUGGACAUGUACUCCUGCUGCAUGGAGGGGGUGGGAAAGCUCCGGGGGUUGUGGAUGGACUCGCGGCCUAUCAGCCUGUUGGUGGGGUGGUGGCCUACCAAGGCGGCGACGGGUAGCCGGCCUGAGAGGGUGACCGGCCACAUUGGGACUUGGAUACGGCCCAGACUCCCACGGGAGGCAACAGUGGGGAAUAUUGGACAAUGGGCGCAAGCCUGAUGCAGGAACGCCGCGUGCGGGAUUACCGCCUUCCGGUUGGAAACCGCUUUCAGCAUGGACGAAGCUUUUUGUGACGGUACCUGCAGAAGAAGCACCGGCUAACUACGUG